rnacentral:rRNA from 1 species
AGUGAACGCUGGCGGUAGGCCUAACACAUGCAAGUCGAACGGCAGCACAGUAAGAGCUUGCUCUUACGGGUGGCGAGUGGCGGACGGGUGAGGAAUACAUCGGAAUCUACUUUUUCGUGGGGGAUAACGUAGGGAAACUUACGCUAAUACAGCAUACGACCUACGGGUGAAAGCAGGGGAUCUUCGGACCUUGCGCGAUUGAAUGAGCCGAUGUCGGAUUAGCUAGUUGGCGGGGUAAAGGCCCACCAAGGCGACGAUCCGUAGCUGGUCUGAGAGGGUGAUCAGCCACACUGGAACUGAGACACGGUCCAGACUCCUACGGGAGGCAGCAGUGGGGAAUAUUGGACAAUGGGCGCAAGCCUGAUCCAGCCAUACCGCGUGAGUGAAGAAGGCCUUCGGGUUGUAAAGCCCUUUUGUUGGGAGAGAAAAGCAGCAGGUUAAUACCCCGCUGUUCUGACGGUACCCAAAGAAUAAGCACCGGCUAACUUCGUG